rnacentral:rRNA from 1 species
UACGGAGGAUGCGAGCGUUAUCCGGAUUUAUUGGGUUUAAAGGUGCGUAGGCGGAUGGAUAAGUCAGUGGUGAAAUUCUGCAGCUUAACUGUAGACUUGCCGUUGAUACUGUUUAUCUUGAGUAUGGUCAAGGCAGGCGGAAUGUGUAAUGUAGCGGUGAAAUGCUUAGAUAUGCCACAGAACACCGAUCGCGAAGGCAGCUGGCGAGGCCGGUACUGACGCUCAGGCACGAAAGCGUGGGGAGUCAAACAGGA